UUGGCUCAGGAUGAACGCUGGCGGCAGGCUUAACACAUGCAAGUCGAGGGGCAGCGCGGUAGUAGCAAUACUACUGGCGGCGACCGGCGAAAGGGUGCAUAACGCGUGAGCGACAUGCCCGCGACCGGGGGAUAACAGAUGGAAACGUCUACUAAUACCCCAUAACAACAGGGUUCGCAUGGAUCUUGUUUGAAAGAUUAAUCGGUUGCGGAUUGGCUCGCGUCCCAUUAGCUAGUCGGCGGGGUAACGGCCCACCGAGGCGACGAUGGGUAGGGGUUCUGAGAGGAAGGUCCCCCACAAUGGAACUGAGACACGGUCCAUACUCCUACGGGAGGCAGCAGUGGGGAAUA
rnacentral:rRNA from 1 species